GAAGGACGGGGCGCGGGGGAUAAAUGGACGUUUGUUUUAUGUAACGCUGGAGCAGGCAAUGACUGACAAGCAGGUAUUCAGCUGGGGAAGUGCUCUGUAUCACUGUGUGUACAUGCCAGAAAAAGAUCUCAGUCUCUUAAACUAGAGCCAACUAUUCAAGCACUUCCACCACAAGAGAGAGCACAGCUUGCUCGGUGCCACCCAGUAGUUCUGCUGGAAUUUCUCCCAAGAUGUGUUCUGGCUAUCCAAUGAGUUGGGAAAUCAUUCCUUCCUUCCGCAGUCGUGAAUGGCAGCAUCUCACACAGAGGGAACACAGAAGAACUAUGCUCUUUAUUGGCAACUCACUGGCAGGUGCAGACGGCAGGACCUUCUACGUGCGCCAUGCCCUGCAGAUCACCAGGAAAGCCCGUAGCAUGACCAGCAGCAGUGACUAGUGUGAUGAUUCCAGCUGUUUCCCUGGGGUUUGUCGACCUGUUGCAGACGGGCCCUUGCAGCUGGAAAGCUCCAUGACAGACAGUUAUGUGACCCGUGCAGCUAGACCCAAACGUGUACUACUCUGCUGUCAUGCAACCUGCAAAGGCACGGGGACCCUGCUGGGGUGAGAGGGUUGGCAACUCCAUUCCUGCUGCUUUCCUCACCCUAGUUCGUUCCUCGGGAUGGGAUCUGAACAGGAGCAGCAGGGCAGGGGCCUCUCUGCUAUGAGGACUCAGAGUCAGCAACGUCUACACUCUCUGACCUCCGUGAGCUCCAAUGAGGAUGAGGCUCUUCCUGGCUCACGAGCGGCUGGGUCACUGCUGUCAUGAUGAAUGUGGCAGUCAGUUGGAGAGGGAGAUAGUUCAUAAGGGCUGCUGGAUGCCCAAUCAAGUUAAUGAGAAAGGAGGAUGGGUGGCUGAGAUGGCUAGUGCAAAAGGCGGUCCUAUCAUAUGGUUGGCCUAUGCAGUGCUCCGAUUGGUUCAGACAUGACCGCCUCUCAGGUGUGCCUGUUUAUGGGGCCUUCUCCAGUGGCAGAUCACAACCAGCGUGUGAACCUGUGGCCUCUUGUACAUAAGACCCUUGGUUUUCUAGAAGGCCAAGCCUCUCUGUACAAAACUCCUGGGCUCCCUGCAUCAAUGGCUGGGUAACUGCAGGGAGACGACAAAUGCCCCAUGAUGAGUCUUUUUUCCUCUGGCAAAGUGUGAUUAGGCAGCUGCUCUGUAGUAUAUGCAGUGCAGGGUUGAAGACCUACCUGUUCCUCCACAUUUGCUUUUGACGUGAAUAUUGCUGGCCAGUUAUGCAAAAGACACAUUUGGUCCUGGCUAGACCUAGUUUACCUGCUUCUCAUCCUGGGUU